rnacentral:rRNA from 1 species
AGAGUUUGAUCAUGGCUCAGAUUGAACGCUGGCGGUAGGCCUAACACAUGCAAGUCGAGCGGUAGCACAAGAGAGCUUGCUCUCUGGGUGACGAGCGGCGGACGGGUGAGUAAUGUCUGGGAAACUGCCUGAUGGAGGGGGAUAACUACUGGAAACGGUAGCUAAUACCGCAUAACGUCUUCGGACCAAAGUGGGGGACCUUCGGGCCUCACGCCAUCAGAUGUGCCCAGAUGGGAUUAGCUAGUAGGUGGGGUAAUGGCUCACCUAGGCGACGAUCCCUAGCUGGUCUGAGAGGAUGACCAGCCACACUGGAACUGAGACACGGUCCAGACUCCUACGGGAGGCAGCAGUGGGGAAUAUUGCACAAUGGGCGCAAGCCUGAUGCAGCCAUGCCGCGUGUGUGAAGAAGGCCUUCGGGUUGUAAAGCACUUUCAGCGAGGAGGAAGGGUAGUGUGUUAAUAGCACAUUGCAUUGACGUUACUCGCAGAAGAAGCACCGGCUAACUCCGUGCCAGCAGCCGCGGUAAUACGGAGGGUGCAAGCGUUAAUCGGAAUUACUGGGCGUAAAGCGCACGCAGGCGGUUUGUUAAGUCAGAUGUGAAAUCCCCGCGCUUAACGUGGGAACUGCAUUUGAAACUGGCAAGCUAGAGUCUUGUAGAGGGGGGUAGAAUUCCAGGUGUAGCGGUGAAAUGCGUAGAGAUCUGGAGGAAUACCGGUGGCGAAGGCGGCCCCCUGGACAAAGACUGACGCUCAGGUGCGAAAGCGUGGGGAGCAAACAGGAUUAGAUACCCCGGUAGU